CAGCCGCCGCGGGAAUACGUAGGUGGCAAGCGUUGUCCGGAAUUAUUGGGCGUAAAGGGCUCGCAGGCGGUUUCUUAAGUCUGACGUGAAAGCCCCCGGCUCAACAGGGGAGGGUCAUUGGAAACUGGGAAACUUGAGUGCAGAAGAGGAGAGUGGAAUUCCACGUGUAGCGGUGAAAUGCGUAGAGAUGUGGAGGAACACCAGUGGCGAAGGCGACUCUCUGGUCUGUAACUGGCGCUGAGGAGCGAAAGCGUGGGGAGCGAACAGGAUUAGAUACCCCAGUAGUCCCUGUCUCUUAUAC
rnacentral:rRNA from 1 species